rnacentral:rRNA from 1 species
UACGUAGGGGGCAAGCGUUGUCCGGAAUCAUUGGGCGUAAAGAGCGUGUAGGCGGCUCGAUAAGUCUGCUGUGAAAGUCCAGGGCUCAACCCUGGAAGGCCGGUGGAAACUGUCGGGCUAGAGUCCGGAAGAGGCGAGUGGAAUUCCCGGUGUAGCGGUGAAAUGCGCAGAUAUCGGGAGGAACACCAAUGGCGAAGGCAGCACUCUGGGCUGGAACUGACGCUGAGGAGCGAAAGCGUGGGUAGCAAACAGG